UAAUAAUAUAACAAAUUUCCCGUGUGCUUCCACCCUUGGCGGAUGGGGCUAGUAUAGAAUCUAGGCAUACGGUGAAAGAAUAGAAAAAAGAUCCUGGGCUGUUGGAUCAUUGAUGUACGCUACUGAUUCAUGAGGAUAGAUCUGUAUUCAUAACGACACAACUCUGUGCAAAUAUGUCCCUGUGCUCCCAGUAAUUUGCGUCAGGUCCCUCCCCUUCAAACAGACUCUCUCUGUCGCUCGCUUCACCGUUCCCCAACAAUCCCUCGUCGACGGGGGCGGCGGCCAGGCAGAUCCGGUGCUUCCCUGGUCGACGACAGCUACUCCCACGGCACCUGCUCCCUGCCUCGUCCCCUUCUACUCCGGCAUCCAUGUCUCUUGGGGCCGUCCCCAGGGCAACAUCACGCUGCGCAUCGUCGUCAGCGACCGGGCCACCGCUGCCGCCACGGUCUCCUCCUCCCUGGUGGCCGCGGGCGGUCCGCCCGCUCAGCUGCAUAUUCUAGAUCUGGAGGCAACCUGGUACUGGUCUAGUGCGCCGUGAUGCUGCCACGGUCUCCUCCCCGGUGCUCCUAGAUCCAAUAAUAUCUCACCGGAGGCAAGCCGGUGGUGCUCGAUCUCCUCGCCUCCUUCACCUCGCAGGAUCAGCAGCUAGGUUUGAUCUCUCCCAGCACAAGAAGCUCGAUGAGCAAUAAGCACUAGUAAUGGAGGCAGAGGCAAUAGCUUUUCUGUUAUGUGCCAUCAAGUAGCAAAAGUUGAUGCAAUGUGAUUAUUUUGGUCCUUCAUAAUUAGUUUUGCAUGAGAUGUACCGAAAAUGAUCCUUGCAUGCUAUGUUACACUUGAUAAGUUAUGUAUGUGUGUCUCUUCUGUUGUGUUUGGUCCGCGAUCAUGCAAUUUGAAAUGUAUGUUUAGUUAUGAUUUCAAGUGGAUAGAUUAAUGUUCUCAUGUACUCUAGUAUUGGUGAUGAUCUUCA